ACCGGUUUAGUUCAGCAGGCAGAACGGCUGAUUGCAAAAUCAGAAGGGCGGUGGUUCAACUCCAUCAACCGGUACCA
rnacentral:tRNA from 1 species